rnacentral:rRNA from 1 species
CAGCAGCCGCGGGAAUACGAAGGGGGCUAGCGUUGCUUGGAAUGACUGGGCGUAAAGGGCGCGUAGGCGGUUUAUACAGUCAGAUGUGAAAUUCCUGGGCUCAACCUGGGGACUGCAUUUGAUACGUAUGGACUUGAGUGGAGAAGAGGGUCGUGGAAUUUCCAGUGUAGAGGUGAAAUUCGUAGAUAUUGGAAAGAACACCGGUGGCGAAGGCGGCGACCUGGUCUUUAACUGACGCUGAGGCGCGAAAGCGUGGGGAGCAAACAGGAUUAGAUACCCGUGUAGUCCCUGUCUCUUAUAC